CCUACGGGAGGCAGCAGUGAGGAAUAUUGGUCAAUGGUCGGGAGGCUGAACCAGCCAAGCCGCGUGAGGGAUGAAGGUACAGAGUAUCGUAAACCUCUUUUGUCAGGGAACAAAGGCGGGGACGUGUCCCCGGAGGAGUGUACCUGAAGAAAAAGCAUCGGCUAACUCCGUGCCAGCAGCCGCGGUAAUACGGAGGAUGCGAGCGUUAUCCGGAUUUAUUGGGUUUAAAGGGUGCGCAGGCGGUCUGUUAAGUCAGCGGUAAAAGCCCGGGGCUCAACCCCGGCCCGCCGUUGAAACUGGGAGGCUUGAGUUGGAGAGAAGUAUGCGGAAUGCGCGGUGUAGCGGUGAAAUGCAUAGAUAUCGCGCAGAACUCCGAUGGCGAAGGCAGCAUGCCGGCUCCACACUGACGCUGAGGCACGAAAGCGUGGGUAUCGAACAGGAUUAGAUACCCGGGUAGUC
rnacentral:rRNA from 1 species